rnacentral:rRNA from 1 species
AUUGAACGCUGGCGGCAGGCCUAACACAUGCAAGUCGAACGAGUGGCGGACGGGUGAGUAAUGUCUGGGAAACUGCCCGAUGGAGGGGGAUAACUACUGGAAACGGUAGCUAAUACCGCAUACCAUCGGAUGUGCCCAUAUGGGAUUAGCUAGUUGGUGGGGUAACGGCUCACCAAGGCGACGAUCCCUAGCUGGUCUGAGAGGAUGACCAGCCACACUGGAACUGAGACACGGUCCAGACUCCUACGGGAGGCAGCAGUGGGGAAUAUUGCACAAUGGGGGAAAGCCUGAUGCAGCCAUCCCGCGUGUAUGAAGAAGGCCUUCGGGUUGUAAAGUACUUUCGGCGGAGAGGCGGUACCCGCAGAAGAAGCACCGGCUAACUCCGUGCCAGCAGCCGCGGUAAUUC